rnacentral:tRNA from 1 species
UAAAUAGCUCAAUGAGAGCAUUGAAUUGAAGCUUCAAGGGUAACUAUUUGUUUUUGAACAU